CGGGCAGGGGUAAGGCUCGUCUACAUAUUACCCUCCCCAGACCCCACCUGGUGGGAAUAUACGGGUAGUUGUUGUUGUUGUUAUCCUGCUACUAUGUUUGAGUGUGAUAUAUUUGCCAAUUUAAGAUAAUAUGAAAGGAGUAAAAAUCACUCUCUCAUUUGCUUGAUUAUUUUUCUCUUAGUUCGGAUAUGGCAUUUUAAGAUACUGAUGCUUAGUUUUUAAUCUGUUUGUAUGAAGUACU
rnacentral:lncRNA from 1 species